rnacentral:rRNA from 1 species
AACCUGGUUGAUCCUGCCAGUAGUCAUAUGCUUGUCUCAAAGAUUAAGCCAUGCAUGUCUCAGUACCUGCCGACCUAAGGCGAAACCGCGAAUGGCUCAUUAAAUCAGUCAUGAUUUAUGGGAUGUUGUAAAAUCCUUACUCGGAUAACUGUGGUAAUUCUAGAGCUAAUACGUGCAACUAGUCUCCGACCCCGGCCCUCGCGGUCGGGGGAAGGGCGCAUUUGUUAGACCAAAAACCGGGUGGACAGUCGGGGCAAUCUCCGCUUCGCGCGGCAGUAUUCGUCCUCGUCCAUUCCUCUACGGUUAUGUGGUGACUCUGGACAACUACAGCCGAGCGCUGAGGUCUUAGUACCGGCGCCGUAUCCUUCAAGUGUCUGCCUUAUCAGCUCUCGAUUGUAGGUUAUUCGCCUACAAUGGCUGUAACGGGUAACGGGGAAUCAGGGUUCGAUUCCGGAGAGGGAGCCUGAGAAACGGCUACCACAUCUAAGGAAGGCAGCAGGCACGCAAAUUACCCAAUCCCGGCUCGGGGAGGUAGUGACGAAAAAUAACGAUGCGGGACUCUUCCGAGGCCUCGCAAUCGGAAUGAGUCCAAUUUAAAAACUUGGACAAGGAUCCAUUGGAGGGCAAGUCUGGUGCCAGCCGCCGCGGUAAUUCCAGCUCCAAUAGCGUAUAUUAAAGUUGCUGCGGUUAAAAAGCUCGUAGUUGGAUUUCUGAUGCGGACCGGGAGCCCAUCCAAGGCGCGCCCUCGUCUUUAGCGAGCGGCGUUCCGGGGGGUUCUUCCCGUGUCUCGUCAACGGCCGAAGGGGUGUCGUUGGCAACCUCUUUCCCACGCUCCGUGUCGUCGUAAGCUCCUCUCGCAUAAGCGAGCGGCGACGUCUCUCCCGCGAAGGCGGUCUGCGAGGGGUUCGGAAUAAGUGGAGGGCUGAGUUGGUCGACGUUGGCUAUCCACCGAGUAGCGGUUUUAUCCUUCUCCAAGGGUUUUCUCCGCUGCGGGCGCCUCUCCCCGUUUCCCUCUCUUUCCUUUCGCUGCUCGUCGCCUUAUGGGCGGCGCGGUAUAAAACCUCCUCUCGCGUCUCGUCAGCAUUCCAAACCGGGGCGUUUACGCCGUCGGGCAGGUCUAUCAUAACCGGUUCCGACGGGUCGGCGUUUUCGGGCGGCGUUGCGCGAGAGGAAGGGCGAAUGGAACGAUGGAUCGGGUGACGUUGUCCGUGUAUUGCGGGUUCUCCCGUUUUAAAGGGGAUCGCAUAUCCGUUCUCGGUCGGGGUCAUCGUCAUCACCGCCUCUCAGUUCUCUCCCGGCCCUGUCGCGCCGUUGGGUGUAGCUCCGUCGUCGUUUCGUUGGGAGGGGCCGCUGCGGCGAUUCCGGUCUGAGAAAUGUUGUUUCCUCAGCGAUUAUCUCUUCUCGGAUAGAUCCCGUUGUUCGAGACGAUAAAAAGCGGGGGGAAUCAAGCCUUCGGCGGCGUUUUUGCUCCUGGCGGGUAAGCGCGCCCGGUGGUUCACUGCCCGGCUCCGUAUUUCGAACAGCCGUCGGCUCUCACGGGGUGCUCUUUACCGAGUGUCCCGCGUGGCCGGCAAGUUCACUUUGAAAAAAUUAGAGUGCUCAAAGCAGGCUAAAAUAUUUACGCCUGAAUGGUAGUGCAUGGAAUGAUGGAAGAGGACCUCGGUCCUGCCUUUUUCAGCCCGGUUUUUCGGAACCGAGGUAAUGAUUAACGGGAACAGACGGGGGCAUUAGUAUUGCGGCGCGAGAGGUGAAAUUCUUGGACCGUCGCAAGACUAACUACUGCGAAAGCAUUUGCCAAGAAUGUUUCAUUAAUCAAGAACGAAAGUUAGAGGAUCGAAGGCGAUCAGAUACCGCCCUAGUUCUAACUAUAAACGAUGUUAAUUGGCGAUCCGUCGGCGUGAUUCCCACGACUCGGCGGGGAGCCCCCGGGAAACCAAAGUCUUUGAGUUCCGGGGGAAGUAUGGUUGCAAAGCUGAAACUUAAAGGAAUUGACGGAAGGGCACCACCAGGAGUGGAGUGCGGCUUAAUUUGACUCAACACGGGGAACCUCACCAGGCCCAGACACUGGAAGGAUUGACAGAUUGAGAGCUCUUUCUCGAUUCGGUGGUUGGUGGUGCAUGGCCGUUCUUANUUGGUGGAGCGAUCUGUCUGGUUGAUUCCGAUAACGAANGAGACUCUACCCUGCUAACUAGUCGGCGGAUCGACUCCCAAGACGGGUUUCCUUCCGCGGGGUUUUCGGGCGGGGGUUGCCUCGGCCCGUCGUCGUUCCCUUGCAGCCUUACUGCGGUCGNUCGGGUUCCGUUUCACGGGUGCUGGGGGGGGAGGAGNCUUCGCGCCUCUNUCUUUCCCCUCCUCGGGUCGGGCGUCGAUCCGGUUCGNAGUAUCGUCUGCCUGGGGCUGAAGCGGCGGCGGUGUCCUUGGUCCUCGUCUUGCCUCGCGCGUUGGNGCUCUGCUGAGGGGCGUCCGUCGGAAUAUCUUCUUAGAGGGAUCGGCNGCGUCCAGCCGCAAGAGAGAGAGCAAUAACAGGUCUGUGAUGCCCUUAGAUGUUCUGGGCCGCACGCGGCUACAAUGUAGGGAUCAACGUGCUUUCCCCCUCCGAAAGGAGCGGGUAACCCGUUGAAACCCCUACUCGAUUGGGAUUGGGGAUUGUAAGUGUUUCCCAUUUACGAGGAAUUCCCAGUAAGCGAAAAGUAAUCAGCUUGCGCUGAUUACGUCCCUGCCCUUUGUACACAGCGCCCGUCGCUACUACCGAUUGAAUGAUUCAGUGAGGGCAUCGGACUGGCGCUUCGGUAGCCGUUGGCUCGUAUUCCAAACUCCGCUUCGGCGGGGGCGGUGGCCGGCACCCUAGGCUGACGGAAAGAUGUCCGAACUUGAUUAUUUAGAGGAAGUAAAAGUCGUAACAAGGUUUCCGUAGGUGAACUGCGGAAGGAUCA